GAUGAACGCUGGCGGCGUGCCUAAUACAUGCAAGUCGAGCGAACAGACGAGGAGCUUGCUCCUCUGACGUUAGCGGCGGACGGGUGAGUAACACGUGGAUAACCUACCUAUAGACUGGGAUAACUUCGGGAAACCGGAGCUAAUACCGGAUAACAUGUUGAACCGCAUGGUUCAACAGUGAAAGACGGUCUUGCUGUCACUUAUAGAUGGAUCCGCGCCGCAUUAGCUAGUUGGUAAGGUAACGGCUUACCAAGGCAACGAUGCGUAGCCGACCUGAGAGGGUGAUCGGCCACACUGGAACUGAGACACGGUCCAGACUCCUACGGGAGGCAGCAGUAGGGAAUCUUCCGCAAUGGGCGAAAGCCUGACGGAGCAACGCCGCGUGAGCGAAGAAGGUCUUCGGAUCGUAAAACUCUGUUAUUAGGGAAGAACAAAUGUGUAAGUAACUAUGCACGUCUUGACGGUACCUAAUCAGAAAGCCACGGCUAACUACGUG
rnacentral:rRNA from 1 species